AACGAACGCUGGCGGCGUGCCUAACACAUGCAAGUCGAACGUGAUUAGAGAGCUUGCUCUCUAUGAAAGUGGCGCACGGGUGAGUAACGCGUAGAUAAUCUACCUGACGAUUCGGGAUAACACUUCGAAAGGGGUGCUAAUACCGAAUAAGCCCACGGUGUCCUUGGACUCUGCGGGAAAAGGGGGGGACCUUCGGGCCUUCCGUCAUCAGAUGAGUCUGCGUACCAUUAGCUAGUUGGUAGGGUAAAGGCCUACCAAGGCGACGAUGGUUAGCUGGUCUGAGAGGAUGAUCAGCCACACUGGAACUGAGACACGGUCCAGACUCCUACGGGAGGCAGCAGUGGGGAAUUUUGCGCAAUGGGGGAAACCCUGACGCAGCAACGCCGCGUGAGUGAUGAAGGCCCUUGGGUCGUAAAGCUCUGACAGAGGGAAAGAAAUGCAGGGGAGCUAAUAUCUCCCUUGCUUGACGGUACCCUCAAAGGAAGCACCGGCUAACUCCGUGCCAGCAGCCGCCGUAACAC
rnacentral:rRNA from 1 species